rnacentral:lncRNA from 1 species
UAAUAAAUAUGCUAACGCUAUUGGCAGCUAUUGUAUCUAUUUAUGGAGCAAUUCUGAUGAAGAUCUCAAUCGCUUUUUGCGAUAGCGGGGAAUUAGGAGCUCAAGACGCUGAAACCCCCACACCUAUGAUGGGGGAUGAAGACGGUGAAACACCAACACCUAUGAUGUGGGAUUGGGAUGAAGACGAACCUGGCAUCCCUCGGCCGGAUAUGAAUUCCAUUAUAGAGGAUACCAGUGAACGGCUU